rnacentral:rRNA from 1 species
GCCUGAUGCAGCGACGCCGCGUGAGGGAUGACGGCCUUCGGGUUGUAAACCUCUUUCAGUAGGGAAGAAGCGAAAGUGACGGUACCUGCAGAAGAAGCGCCGGCUAACUACGUGCCAGCAGCCGCGGUAAUACGUAGGGCGCAAGCGUUAUCCGGAAUUAUUGGGCGUAAAGAGCUCGUAGGCGGUUUGUCGCGUCUGCCGUGAAAGUCCGGGGCUCAACUCCGGAUCUGCGGUGGGUACGGGCAGACUAGAGUGAUGUAGGGGAGACUGGAAUUCCUGGUGUAGCGGUGAAAUGCGCAGAUAUCAGGAGGAACACCGAUGGCGAAGGCAGGUCUCUGGGCAUUAACUGACGCUGAGGAGCGAAAGCAUGGGGAGCGAACAGGAUUAGAUACCCUGGUAGUCCAUGCCGUAAACGUUGGGCACUAGGUGUGGGGGACAUUCCACGUUUUCCGCGCCGUAGCUAACGCAUUAAGUGCCCCGCCUGGGGAGUACGGCCGCAAGGCUAAAACUCAAAGGAAUUGACGGGGGCCCGCACAAGCGGCGGAGCAUGCGGAUUAAUUCGAUGCAACGCGAAGAACCUUACCAAGGCUUGACAUGGGCCGGACCGGGCUGGAAACAGUCCUUCCCCUUUGG